rnacentral:rRNA from 1 species
AACGAACGCUGGCGGCAGGCUUAACACAUGCAAGUCGAGCGCACCGCAAGGUUGAGCGGCAGACGGGUGAGUAACGCGUGGGAAUCUACCCAGUUCUGCGGAAUAACACAGGGGAAACUUGUGCUAAAUACCGCAUACGCCCUCCGGGGAAGAUUUAUCGGAAUUGGAUGAGCCCGCGUUAGAUUAGCUAGUUGGUGGGGUAAAGGCCUACCAAGGCGACGAUCUAUAGCUGGUCUGAGAGGAUGAUCAGCCACACUGGGGACUGAGACACGGCCCACGACUCCUACGGGAGGCAGCACGUGGGGAACUAGUUGGACAAUGGGCGAAAGCCUGAUCCAGCCA